UACGUAGGGUGCAAGCGUUAAUCGGAAUUACUGGGCGUAAAGCGUGCGCAGGCGGUUUUGUAGGUUUGUCGUGAAAUCCCCGGGCUCAACCUGGGAAUGGCGAUGAAGACUGCAAGGCUAGAAUCUGGCAGAGGGGGUAGAAUUCCACGUGUAGCAGUGAAAUGCGUAGAGAUGUGGAGGAACACCGAUGGCGAAGGCAGCCCCCUGGGUCAAGAUUGACGCU
rnacentral:rRNA from 1 species